rnacentral:rRNA from 1 species
GGUUAAGUUAGAAAGGGCGCACGGUGGAUGCCUUGGCACUAGGAGCCGAAGAAGGACGGGACUAACACCGAUAUGCUUUGGGGAGCUGUACGUAAGCGUUGAUCCAGAGAUUUCCGAAUGGGGGAACCCACUAUCUUUAGUCGGAUAGUAUCCUUACGUGAAUACAUAGCGUGAGGAAGGCAGACCCAGGGAACUGAAACAUCUAAGUACCUGGAGGAAGAGAAAGAAAAAUCGAUUUCCUGAGUAGCGGCGAGCGAAACGGAAAGAGCCCAAACCAAGAAGCUUGCUUCUUGGGGUUGUAGGACACUCUAUACGGAGUUACAAAAGAAAGUUAUAAAUGAAGCGGUCUGGAAAGGCCCGCCAAAGACGGUAACAGCCCGGUAGUUGAAAUGGCUUUCCCUCCAGAGUGGAUCCUGAGUACGGCGGAACACGUGAAAUUCCGUCGGAAUCCGGGAGGACCAUCUCCCAAGGCUAAAUACUCCCUAGUGACCGAUAGUGAACCAGUACCGUGAGGGAAAGGUGAAAAGCACCCCGGAAGGGGAGUGAA